AUCGGCUGGCAGGAUAUAGCAGGCCAUGCUGCAAGUUUGUUUGUCAGUGAUUCUGUUGUCUAUUGUUGUGAAGAAAAUUCUUCUCUCAUUCAAUGAAAGAAUUAGUUCUUCUAAAUGAUGUUCGCAAUGCAUAUUAUAUUGAUAUGAUUGACAACAAUUUCCAUGAAAUGCUGCUUCAAACAUCCAGGGAUAUCUUCUCUUAUCAUUUUUUGCAUGCAUGGUGCAAUUCAGUUGAAUGUGUUGUCACAACCUUGAAUACAAUUGCUGAAUAUGGUGAUCUUUGAUAUAUUUUUUUUGUAGACUCCAUAUGCUGUUCUGAUCCAAGGCAACAUCUUCUAUGGGCAUAGACACUUGGUUAAUCAAUCUCAAAUGUCUGAAAUGGAUCAUGACCGAAUCUGGAAUCAUCCGCACCCUGAUUCUCACCUGAACUUGGAAAAUGGUUCUUAGUUCGUCCUUCUGAGAAUGCAGCAGUCAAUGGGGUGAAUUCAGUGGCUAUUUUAACAUGAUUCCUAGAUCAAAUGACCCCAUUGCCUACUUCAGAGAUUCCAAAUUACAUGGCAGUUGGACCCUCACAUGAUCCCUACCUGCAUACUCCAUCUGCUGCCAGCUCUAGUCGGCUUCCACCAAGUUAUGUUCAGCAUGGGCCUCCUUUCUACAACCAACAUGCAAUUGGGGAUGUAGGCAGCACAAUUAAUCCUCAAAUGGACUAUGGAAGAGCAUCAUACAAAAGAAAAAUCCCAGCACUCGCAAUUUUCUGACAGGGGAACACCAGUGGAUAUUAUAGUGCUGGUAGUUCUUCCAAUCUUCCCAUGUCGAAUGAGCAAUUACAGCCAAAGCCUUAUCAGGUCCUCAUUGCUGCCUUGGGAGCCCGUUAGCACAGUCCCUAGUUAUGGAAGCAGCAAUCUUUUGACUUUUGGAGAAGGACCCCGGAGGAAUGUCAGGAGCGACAUAAUCAUGCCCGUCACAUGGAAACCAUCCCAGUUGGGUUCAUGCAUCUAACAACUUGCCUCAACAUUUUCAAGCAACAGUGAAUACUGCUGUUUGGGUGUGGUAGGACAUUGGAGCCAAAAUUCUGUCUCUAUGGAUCCCCAAGAACGGUUCUCUCUUCAGAAGUUAGCUCCAAUCAUGAGAUUAGUCAGUCCCUUGCGGGAAGCAGUGUCACCGAUAACAAUAUGGAGAUCGAUGGUGGGUACCACACCAAUCUCAUUGCAAGUAGAAGUCCGAGUACCAUGCCAAGUCUUCAGGGUCCUCCAACACGAGGCGCAGGGCUGGCCCACAGUAGUUACAGUCAAAGAACUUACAGGGCCAUUCCAAACUACCCAUCCGUGGGUUUUGCAGCCACUUUGGAAGAUGAUAGGCGGCCAGGAGUGGAAACUGCGAUGCCUCCUAGACAUCCAAGACCACCGUCUAUUAUGGGGCAUAAUAAUGAGAGGAAUGGAAGGGCAAGGAAUUUCUAUGAUAGAUUCCAGUCAUUCUCAGAUGAGGACAAUACUCGCAGUAGAUGGAUCUCUGAGGGUGUAGCUAUAAUGGACCGGUCAACUUCUAUGAUUCCAGGAAUUUCUUUGAUCAGCACCGUGACAUGAGACUGGACAUCGACAGCAUGAGCUAUGAGGAGCUGCUUGCACUGGAGAAAGAAUUGGAAAUGUCAGCACAGGCUUGUCGUCAGAUGCCAUCUCAAGAUGCUUGAUGGAGACGAUACUAUUCUUGCAAACAGAAUCAGGAUGACGAGGAAGAAUUGAAGUGUGCAAUUUGCCUGGAAGAGUACCGAGAUGGGGAAAGCAUUGGGAGACUAAAAUGUGGACAUGAUUUCCAUGCCAGCUGCAUAAAGCAAUGGUUGCUGAUAAAGAAUGCCUGCCCGAUCUGCAAAGCCUCAGCCUUGGAAGAUAAUAUGAAGUAAAAAUAAAUGGUUUCUCCAUAAUUAUGAUGGUUAAGAUAGAUCUAGUCACUCUCCUCAUUUGUACAUACUCCGCCAAUGGUGGACAUGACAUGUUUACAGAUUUGAAACAGCAUUUCUUCCGUGUUAAUAUGUUGCAGGCGUUUCAGAUUU